rnacentral:rRNA from 1 species
UACGUAGGGUGCGAGCGUUGUCCGGAAUUAUUGGGCGUAAAGAGCUCGUAGGUGGUUUGUCGCGUUGUCCGUGAAAACUCACAGCUCAACUGUGGGCGUGCGGGCGAUACGGGCAGACUGGAGUACUGCAGGGGAGACUGGAAUUCCAGGUGUAGCGGUGAAAUGCGUAGAUAUCUGGAGGAACACCGGUGGCGAAGGCGGCAUCCUGGACCACGACUGACGCUGAGUGAGCGAAAGCCAGGGGAGCAAACGGG